rnacentral:lncRNA from 1 species
GGGAUGGGGGUGGGAGUCUGCUCCAUGCUUUGGGCAGCUCUCAGGUGGAGUCUCUCUCCCUCUAAGACCGCAGCCUGGGAAGGUUGGAGCUCAAACGAGCACCUGUUGAGUUGCCGUGAGCUGCUUGGAUGUUGCCUCUGCCACCUGCCAGCCUCCCUGAUGGACAGAGUCCCCUCUCGGCUUGGACAGGAACGAGGUGACCAAUGGUCGGUGGCUCCGUAGUCCCACCCCACAGCUGGCUUCUCUGAGCCCUGCACAGUGGCAUCUCCAGGACACCUGCUGCCUCCAUCUAUUGGCAGAGCCGACAGCCCGCGGAGCAGGAGUGGGGAUGGAGGUAAAGACGGUUCCUGUUUCCACAACAGAGUCUCCACGCUGCCUCCCACUUUCAAACCAGAAACUCUCGAGUAGACAGAGAUGCCUUGUGAUCCAA